AAGGAGACUAACAAGGAUUCCCCUAGUAACUGCGAGUGAAGCGGGAAAAGCUCAAAUUUAAAAUCUGGUGGUCUUUGGCCAUCCGAGUUGUAAUUUAGAGAAGCGUCUUCCGCGCUGGACCGUGCACAAGUCUCCUGGAAUGGAGCGUCAUAGAGGGUGAGAAUCCCGUCUUUGGCACGGACGCCCCAGGGCUUUUGUGAUGCGCUCUCGAAGAGUCGAGUUGUUUGGGAAUGCAGCUCAAAAUGGGUGGUGAACUCCAUCUAAAGCUAAAUAUUGGCGAGAGACCGAUAGCGAACAAGUACCGUGAGGGAAAGAUGAAAAGCACUUUGGAAAGAGAGUGAAACAGUACGUGAAAUUGUUGAAAGGGAAACGCUUGAAGUCAGUCGCGUCGACCGAGACUCAGCCUUGCCCUUGGCUUGGUGUACUUCUCGGCUGACGGGUCAGCAUCAAUUUUGCCCCUUGGAUAAUGGCGAGGGAAAUGUGACACCUUUACGGUGUGUUAUAGUCUCUUGUCGCAUGCAAGGGUUGGGAUUGAGGAACUCAGCACGCACCUUUGGGUGUCGGGGCUUUGCCCACGAUACGUGCUUAGGAUGUUGGCGUAAUGGCUUUAAACGACCCGUCUUGAAACACGGACCAAGGAGUCUAACAUGCCUGCGAGUGUUCGGGUGGAAAACUCGUGCGCGCAAUGAAAGUGAAAGUUGGGACCUCUGUCGUGGAGGGCACCGACGCCCGGACCAGACCUUCUGUGACGGCUCUGCGGUAAAGCAUGUAUGUUAGGACCCGAAAGAUGGUGAACUAUGCCUGAAUAGGGUGAAGCCAGAGGAAACUCUGGUGGAGGCUCGUAGCGAUUCUGACGUGCAAAUCGAUCGUCAAAUUUGGGUAUAGGGGCGAAAGACUAUCGAACAUCUAUACUGCCGCAAAAAAACCCCCCCCCCCAAAAAAAAAAAAAAUAGCCGGAAAAACGCCACGCCCUAAAAAAUGUAUCUAAAGCCCCCCCCCCCCCCGAGGAGGAAAUUGAUUAGGCGGGGAAACCCCCCCAACCCCCCCAAAAUUCCCCCGGGCCCCCCCUGCCCGCCCCGGGCCCCCCCCGGGGGCC
rnacentral:rRNA from 1 species